rnacentral:rRNA from 1 species
UACGGAGGGUGCAAGCGUUAUCCGGAUUCACUGGGUUUAAAGGGUGCGUAGGUGGGUUGGUAAGUCAGUGGUGAAAUCUCCAGGCUUAACUUGGAAACUGCCAUUGAUACUAUCAAUCUUGAAUACCGUGGAGGUCAGCGGAAUAUGUCAUGUAGCGGUGAAAUGCUUAGAUAUGACAUAGAACACCAAUUGCGAAGGCAGCUGGCUACACGAAUAUUGACACUGAUGCACGAAGGCGUGGGGAUCAAACAGG